AACGAACGCUGGCGGCAGGCUUAACACAUGCAAGUCGAACGCCCCGCAAGGGGAGUGGCGCACGGGUGAGUAACGCGUGGGAAUAUGCCCUUCGGUUCGGAAUAACACAGGGAAACUUGUGCUAAUACCGGAUACGAUCUACGGAUGAAAGAUUCAUGGCCGAGGGAGUAGCCCGCGUCAGAUUAGCUAGUUGGUGAGGUAAUGGCUCACCAAGGCGACGAUCUGUAGCUGGUCUGAGAGGAUGAUCAGCCACACUGGGACUGAGACACGGCCCAAACUCCUACGGGAGGCAGCAGUGGGGAAUCUUGCGAAAUGGGCGAAAGCCUGACGCAGCCAUGCCGCGUGAAUGAUGAAGGUCUUAGGAUUGUAAAAUUCUUUCACCGGGGACGAUAAUGACGGUACCCGGAGAAGAAGCCCCGGCUAACUUCGUGCCAGCAGCCGCCGUAAUAC
rnacentral:rRNA from 1 species